rnacentral:rRNA from 1 species
CCUACGUGAGGCAGCAGUGGGGAAUAUUGGACAAUGGGGGGAACCCUGAUCCAGCGACGCCGCGUGAGUGAAGAAGUAUUUCGGUAUGUAAAGCUCUAUCAGCAGGGAAGAAAGAAAUGACGGUACCUGACUAAGAAGCCCCGGCUAACUACGUGCCAGCAGCCGCGGUAAUACGUAGGGGGCAAGCGUUAUCCGGAUUUACUGGGUGUAAAGGGAGCGUAGACGGCGAUGCAAGUCUGAAGUGAAAGGCGGGGGCCCAACCCCCGGACUGCUUUGGAAACUGUAUGGCUGGAGUGCAGGAGAGGUAAGUGGAAUUCCUAGUGUAGCGGUGAAAUGCGUAGAUAUUAGGAGGGACACCAGUGGCGAAGGCGGCUUACUGGACUGUAACUGACGUUGAGGCUCGAAAGCGUGGGGAGCAAACAGGAUUAGAUACCCUAGUAGUC